GGGAAAUGUAGUAGAUAAGUGGUGAUCCAGGCAGGAAGUAACAUAGUAAGGAGACUCAUAGCUAAGUGAGGAAACAGGAAGUGUCCCCUUUUUCCUCUUCCUCCUCCAGCAGCGCAAUGUGAUCCACCAGCAAGGAGGGAUGCCAAUAAGGCCUCUGAUAAGAUAAGUGUUAUAAAAUAUAUAGAUGUAUAAUAAUUAAGACUGAGUUAACAGAUGAGAAUCAUAUUCAUUAACCAAGCAGCACUGUACCUAAUAUGUCUCUGUAUUAUUUUCUCCAUUCACAUGGCGGGCAGAAGUCAGGUGGCUGGAGGAGGCCACCCACGUGGCAUAAGAUGGCUUUUGGCAGAAAGAUUUAUCGUAACACCUUUAUUGAGGAGUGGACAAGAGCUGAACCCAGGACCACAAGCUCCAAGAUUGCAUCACUUCCCAUGGCCUAGGCCCUCCCCCAUUGGUCACUAUUGGAGAAAAUUCCUUAUAGCUGGAUCUCAUGGAGGCAUUUCCUGAACUGAGGCUCCUUCUCUCUGAUGACUCUAACUUGUGUAAAGUUGAUACACAAAACCAGCCAGUUCAGCAUCCACCUUGGAACCCAUUAGCCAUUUGUCUCUGACUCCAGUCUGUGAUAGAUUGUUCCCAGUAAAACUGACUCAGUGACUCCCACACAAAAAAUGUGCACCCAUGAACAUUACCACUUAUGAUAUCACAUGUUUGAUCUUGUAAGUGGAUUCUAACUUUGUGUUUUCACAUUGGAAGGAAUAAUCUGGAGUCGGUAAUAUUGGAAUUAGAAAGGUCUGAUUAGAGAAUGUUUGAGAAGAGGACAUGAGAGGAGAAAAGAGUAGAAUGUAUGUGAUGAGAAAUUAGGGUGUAAGAAUAGUAAGGGUCAAGAAAUUUAAUUAGAAUAGGGAAGGUUCAAGGGUGCCACCUACCUUCUCUUCUAGGAGGUUCAGUGUGGCUAAAUUUAUGUUGAGGUCUUUGAUCCAUUUGGAUUUAAGUGUAGUACAUGGUGAUAGAUAUGGAUCAAUCUAAAACCUUUGACAAGUCCGAAUCCAGCUAUGCCAGCACCAUUUGUUAAAGAUGUUCUCUUUGUUCCAUCAUAUAAUUUUGGAUUGUUUGUCAAAAAUCAGGUGUUCAUAGAUGUGUGGGUUAAUAUCAGGUUUUUCAACUCUAUUCCAUUGGUCUACCUGUCUGUUUUUGUGCCAAUACCAAGUUGUUCUCAGGGCUAUAGCUCUGU
rnacentral:lncRNA from 1 species